GCAAUAACCUUUACAGUCGCGAUGAUGACUUUGAUGAUAAAAAUGGCUUUCACAAUAGCGAUGUUGGCGUUCUCAAUAUGUACCGUAGCCAAGGUCGUGGCACUACAAGCAGAAUUGAUAAAGAAAAGUUACGUGCCAUCAUUACUCUGCUGCACCACUAUAACCCCUUAAUGAAGUUGUAUUCAAUGAAGGCUAAUGGUAAGAAACGGGUUGCCUGGAGAAAGUGGAUUGGCUGGUAUGACUCGUCGAAUAGUGGAAUUAAUGGUAUAGGAUAAUAAAUGGAAAGUCGGUAAUUUGAGGUGUUGUAUUCAA